rnacentral:rRNA from 1 species
GACGAACGCUGGCGGCGUGGAUUAGGCAUGCAAGUCGAACGGUAUCAUCCUUUCGGGGGUGAGAGAGUGGCGAACUGGUGAGUAACACGUAGGUUAUCUACCCUCAAGACGGGGACAACCCAGGGAAACUUGGGCUAAUACCGGAUGUGAGCAACUUUUAGUUGUUUGAAAGGUGGCGUAAGCUGUCGCUUGGGGAUGAGCCUGCGUCCUAUUAGUUAGUUGGUGAGGUAACGGCUCACCUAGGCAAUGAUAGGUAGGCGGCCUUAACGGGUGGUCGCCCACACUGGGAUUGAGAUACGGCCCAGACUCCUACGGGAGGCAGCAGUCGAGAAUAGUCUACAAUGGUCGGAAGACUGAUAGCGCGACGCCGCGUGAACGAUGAAUCCCUUCGGGGUGUAAAGUUCUUUUAUAUGUGAGCAGUGCUUCUUAUAUUAACAGUAUGGGGAGAGAGAUAUUAGCAUAUGAAUAAGCAACGGCUAACUCCGUGCCAGCAGCCGCGGUAACUCGU